rnacentral:rRNA from 1 species
ACGUAGGUGGCAAGCGUUGUCCGGAUUUACUGGGCGUAAAGGGCGUGCAGGCGGUUUGUUAAGUCUAGGGUGAAAGCUCCCGGCUCAACUGGGAGAGGUCCUUGGAUACUGGCAGACUUGAGGAGGGUAGAGGAGAGUGGAAUUCCCGGUGUAGUGGUGAUAUGCGUAGAUAUCGGGAGGAACACCAGUGGCGAAGGCGACUACCUGGACCAGCACUGACACUGAGGCACGAAAGCGUGGGGAGCAAACAGGA